rnacentral:rRNA from 1 species
AACGAACGCUGGCGGCAGGCCUAACACAUGCAAGUCGAGCGAGGACUUCGGUUCUAGCGGCGGACGGGUGAGUAACGCGUGGGAAUGUGCCCUUCUCUACGGAAUAGCCCUGGGAAACUGGGAGUAAUACCGUAUACGCCCUAUUGGGGAAAGAUUUAUCGGAGAAGGAUCAGCCCGCGUUGGAUUAGGUAGUUGGUGGGGUAAUGGCCUACCAAGCCGACGAUCCAUAGCUGGUUUGAGAGGAUGAUCAGCCACACUGGGACUGAGACACGGCCCAGACUCCUACGGGAGGCAGCAGUGGGGAAUCUUAGACAAUGGGGGCAACCCUGAUCUAGCCAUGCCGCGUGAGUGAUGAAGGCCUUAGGGGUAAAGCUCUUUCAGCUGGGAAGAUAAUGACGGUACCAGCAGAAGAAGCCCCGGCUAACUCCGUG